CUACUUACCUGACAGGGCAGACACCUUGAUUAUGAAGGUAGUUUUCUCAGUGAGGCUUGCCCACUGCGCCCUGGAUGUGCUGACCCCUGCCAUUUCCCCAGAUGUGGGAAACUUGACUAUAAUUUAUGGUAAUGAGGGGAGUAUUUGUACUUGCCACU